rnacentral:rRNA from 1 species
GAUUAGAGUUUGAUCCUGGCUCAGGAUGAACGUUGGCGGUGUGCCUAAUACAUGCAAGUCGAACGGAGAUUGUAGCAAUACGGUCUUAGUGGCGAACGGGUGAGUAACGCGUUGGUGAUCUGCCUCGAAGUGUGGAAUAACGAUUCGAAAGAAUCGCUAAUACCGCAUAGUCUCUCUUUUUCCAGAAAUUUGAGAGUAAAGGAUUUAUUCGCUUUGAGAGGAGCCUGCGUCCCAUCAGCUAGUUGGUAAGGUAAUGGCCUACCAAGGCGAUGACGGGUAGGGGACCUGAGAGGGUGGCCCCCCACAAUGGAACUGAAACACGGUCCAUACACCUACGGGUGGCAGCAGUAGGGAAUAUUAGAAAUGGACGAAAGUCUGAUCUAGCAACACCGCGUGUGCGAAGAAGGCCUUCGGGCUGUAAAGCACUUUUGGAAGGAUAGGAAG